UGGGGAAUCUUGGACAAUGGGGCACCAGCUGAUCCAGCCAUGCCGCGUGAGCGAUGAAGGCCUUAGGGUUGUAAAGCUCUUUCGCCUGUGAAGAUAAUGACGGUAGCAGGUAAAGAAACCCCGGCUAACUCCGUGCCAGCAGCCGCGGUAAUACGGAGGGGGUUAGCGUUGUUCGGAAUUACUGGGCGUAAAGCGCACGUAGGCGGACCAGAAAGUUGGGGGUGAAAUCCCGGGGGCUCAACCCCGGAACUGCCUCCAAAACUAUUGGUCUAGAGUUCGAGAGAGGUGAGUGGAAUUCCAAGUGUAGAGGUGAAAUUCGUAGAUAUUUGGAGGAACACCAGUGGCGAAGGCGGCUCACUGGCUCGAUACUGACGCUGAGGUGCGAAAGUGUGGGGAGCAAACAGGAUUAGAUACCCUGGUAGUCCACACCGUAAAACGAUGAAUGCCAGUCGUCGGGUAGCAUGCUAUUCGGUGACACACCUAACGGAUUAAGCAUUCC
rnacentral:rRNA from 1 species